rnacentral:rRNA from 1 species
GAUGAACGCUGGCGGCGUGCCUAAUACAUGCAAGUCGAGCGAACGGACGAGAAGCUUGCUUCUCUGAUGUUAGCGGCGGACGGGUGAGUAACACGUGGAUAACCUACCUAUAAGACUGGGAUAACUUCGGGAAACCGUAGCUAAUACCGGAUAAUAUUUUGAACCGCAUGGUUCAAAAGUGAAAGACGGUCUUGCUGUCACUUAUAGAUGGAUCCGCGCUGCAUUAGCUAGUUGGUAAGGUAACGGCUUACCAAGGCAACGAUGCAUAGCCGACCUGAGAGGGUGAGCAGCCACACUGGAACUGAGACACGGUCCAGACUCCUACGGGAGGCAGCAGUAGGGAAUCUUCCGCAAUGGGCGAAAGCCUGACGGAGCAACGCCGCGUGAGUGAUGAAGGUAUUCGGAUCGUAAAACUCUGUUAUUAGGGAAGAACAUAUGUGUAAGUAACUGUGCACAUCUUGACGGUACCUAAUCAGAAAGCCACGGCUAACUACGUG